CUUCCUUCUAAGAAGAUUAUCCGCGACACCGAUAAUUUUUCCAAUUAAGUAUAUCAUGUCUUCAUAUUAAAAUUGAAACUUCUAGUAGUUUUUGUGAUUGUUCUGUUGUUACUUUUUAAUUAGUGUUUCGGUCUUUUCCGCUACUUGUAUAACUUGAUAAUUUUUUUCCAAAAUUAGAAAAUGGUAUAACUACUUAACACUG
rnacentral:sRNA from 1 species